rnacentral:rRNA from 1 species
UCCGGAGGAUGCAAGCGUUAUCCGGCAUGAUUGGGCGUAAAGCGUCCGCAGGUGGCAAUGUAAGUCUGCUGUCAAAGCGUCUGGCUCAACCAGAUAAAGGCAGUGGAAACUACAUAGCUAGAGUAAGGUAGGGGUAGAGGGAAUUCCUGGUGUAGCGGUGAAAUGCGUAGAGAUCAGGAAGAACACCGGUGGCGAAAGCGCUCUGCUGGACCUUAACUGACACUGAGGGACGAAAGCUAGGGGAGCGAAUGGG